GAGCGAGGGGUCCUAGCGUUGUUCGGAAUCAGCUAGGGCGUAAAGCGUAUGUAGGCUGGCCUUUUAAGUCGAUUGAUGAAACUCCCAUGGCCUUAACCAUGGAAUUGCAGUUCGAAACUGAAGGGGCUUGAGUGUGGGAGAGAUUUGGUAGAAUACCUGGUGUAGUGGUGAAAUACGUAGAUAUCAGGUGGAAUACCGGUGGCGAAGGCGGCCAAUUGCCCAACUACGUCGAACGCA
rnacentral:rRNA from 1 species